ACGGACGAGAAGCUUGCUUCUCUGAUGUUAGCGGCGGACGGGUGAGUAACACGUGGAUAACCUACCUAUAAGACUGGGAUAACUUCGGGAAACCGGAGCUAAUACCGGAUAAUAUUUUGAACCGCAUGGUUCAAAAGUGAAAGACGGUCUUGCUGUCACUUAUAGAUGGAUCCGCGCUGCAUUAGCUAGUUGGUAAGGUAACGGCUUACCAAGGCAACGAUGCAUAGCCGACCUGAGAGGGUGAUCGGCCACACUGGAACUGAGACACGGUCCAGACUCCUACGGGAGGCAGCAGUAGGGAAUCUUCCGCAAUGGGCGAAAGCCUGACGGAGCAACGCCGCGUGAGUGAUGAAGGUCUUCGGAUCGUAAAACUCUGUUAUUAGGGAAGAACAUAUGUGUAAGUAACUGUGCACAUCUUGACGGUACCUAAUCAGAAAGCCACGGCUAACUACGUGCCAGCAGCCGCGGUAAUACGUAGGUGGCAAGCGUUAUCCGGAAUUAUUGGGCGUAAAGCGCGCGUAGGCGGUUUUUUAAGUCUGAUGUGAAAGCCCACGGCUCAACCGUGGAGGGUCAUUGGAAACUGGAAAACUUGAGUGCAGAAGAGGAAAGUGGAAUUCCAUGUGUAGCGGUGAAAUGCGCAGAGAUAUGGAGGAACACCAGUGGCGAAGGCGACUUUCUGGUCUGUAACUGACGCUGAUGUGCGAAAGCGUGGGGAUCAAACAGGAUUAGAUACCCUGGUAGUCCACGCCGUAAACGAUGAGUGCUAAGUGUUAGGGGGUUUCCGCCCCUUAGUGCUGCAGCUAACGCAUUAAGCACUCCGCCUGGGAG
rnacentral:rRNA from 1 species